AAUUAUUAUUAGAUUUUUAAAUAAUUAUUCACGAAAUAAAUUGAGCUAAAUUUUUGGUAUUUUUGGAAAUUAUAACUAUAUGUUACAAAAUAUAUUAACUAAAUAGAUUUAGGGGUGAAAGGCCUAUCAAAUUUUAUGAUAUCUUGAAGUAUAUAAAAUAUAUCAAGUAUUUCUAAUUCAACUAUUGAAUGUUUAGGUUCAAUAGUAACAUUAUAUUUUUUUAAAAAAUUGUUCAAUUUUUUUAAGUAAAAUUGAGUUAGAGCAUAAAAUAUACAUCAAAUUUUUAUUAUAUGAAUAUAAAUAUACUACGGUUAUUAAUAAAUAUAAUCAUAUAUAAUGUAAUUAUUAGUAAUAGUUUAUUAAACUAUAUAAAGGAAUUCGGCAAGAAAAUUUUUCACCUGUUUAUCAAAAACAUAGCUUAUUGAAUAUCAUAAUAAGUAACCCCUGCUCAAUGGAAAUCUAAAUAGCCGCAGUACCUUGACUGUGCAAAGGUAGCAUAAUCAAUUGGCUUAUAAUUGAAGUCUGGAAUGAAUGGGUAAUCUGGAAAAUAACUGUCUUUAUUUGUAGUAUUUUGAAUUUACUUAUAAAGUGAAAAUACUUUAAUAUAAAUAUAAGACGAGAAGACCCUAGAAAUUUUUUGUUAAUAACUUUUGUUGGGGCGACAGGGUAACAUAUAAACUUACUUACAUUUAUAUAAAUCUUAUAAGGUACGUAACUAAAUUACUCUAGGGAUAACAGCAUAAUAUAUAAAAGUUUAUGACCUCGAUGUUGGACUAGGUAAUUAAAUAUUUAAAAGAUAUCUUAAUUUGCUCUGUUCGAGCAGUACCACCUACAU
rnacentral:rRNA from 1 species